GGGGUUGUGGCUCAGCAGUAGAGUGCUCACCUUGCACGUGUGAGACCCUGGGUUCAAUCCCCAGCACCACA
rnacentral:tRNA from 1 species